rnacentral:rRNA from 1 species
CCUACGGGAGGCAGCAGUGAGGAAUAUUGGUCAAUGGGCGUGAGCCUGAACCAGCCAAGUCGCGUGAGGGAUGACUGCCCUAUGGGUUGUAAACCUCUUUUAUAAGGGAAUAAAGUGAGGCACGUGUCCCUUUUUGUAUGUACUUUAUGAAUAAGGAUCGGCUAACUCCGUCCCAGCAGCCGCGGUAAUACGGAGGAUCCGAGCGUUAUCCGGAUUUAUUGGGUUUAAAGGGUGCGUAGGUGGGAUUUUAAGUCAGUGGUGAAAGUCUGUGGCUCAACCGUAAGAUAGCCGUUGAUACUGGGAGUCUUGAGUAUGUUUGAGGUAGGCGGAAUGCGUGGUGUAGCGGUGAAAUGCUUAGAUAUCACGCAGAACCCCGAUUGCGAAGGCAGCCUACCAAGCCACAACUGACGCUGAUGCACGAAAGCGUGGGUAUCAAACAGGAUUAGAUACCCGUGUAGUC